UGGGGAAUUUUGCACAAUGGGGGAAACCCUGAUGCAGCGACGCCGCGUGAUUUAGAAGGCCUUCGGGUUGUAAAAAUCUUUUGUAUAGGAAGAAAAUGACAGUACUAUACGAAUAAGGACCGGCUAAUUACGUGCCAGCAGCCGCGGUAAUACGUAAGGUCCGAGCGUUGUCCGGAAUCAUUGGGCGUAAAGGGUACGUAGGCGGGUAAGCAAGUUAGAAGUGAAAUCCUAUAGCUCAACUAUAGUAAGCUUUUAAAACUGCUCAUCUUGAGGUAUGGAAGGGAAAGUGGAAUUCCUAGUGUAGCGGUGAAAUGCGCAGAUAUUAGGAGGAAUACCGGUGGCGAAGGCGACUUUCUGGCCAUAACCUGACGCUGAGGUACGAAAGCGUGGGGAGCGAACAGG
rnacentral:rRNA from 1 species